CGUAGGAGGCGAGCGUUGUCCGGAAUCAUUGGGCGUAAAGAGCGCGCAGGCGGCCUGUCAAGUCGGGUGUGAAAUCCCGGGGCUCAACCCCGGGACUGCAUCCGAUACUGUCAGGCUAGAGGUAGGUAGGGGAGAUCGGAAUUCCUGGUGUAGCGGUGAAAUGCGCAGAUAUCAGGAGGAACACCGGUGGCGAAGGCGGAUCUCUGGGCCUCACCUGACGCUCAGGCGCGAAAGCUAGGGGAGCGAACAGGAUUAGAUACCCUGGUAGUCCUAGCCGUAAACGUUGGGUGCUAGGUGUGGGCGGAUAUCGACCCCGUCCGUGCCGAAGCUAACGCAUUAAGCACCCCGCCUGGGGAGUACGGCCGCAAGGCUA
rnacentral:rRNA from 1 species